rnacentral:lncRNA from 1 species
GAUGUUGAAAUAAUGUUUUAUACAUGUUUUACAAGAUUUGAAUUGUAUAUGUGUUUGCAUCUACAAAUAUGUUGGGUAGAACAUGGGUAAAUGAAAUAGUUGAUGUGAUACGAAAUAAUAAGUAUUUUUGAACUCAAUGUGUUCAUUAGGUGUUUUUGAACUCUACGUGUUCAUUUGGUGUUUGAACUCAAUGUGUUCAUUAGGUGUUUUUGAACUCUACGUGUUCAUUUGGUGUUUGAACUCAAUGUGUUCAUUAGGUAUUUUUGAACUCUAUGUGUUCACUUGGUGUUUG